UCCAGGGACUCUGUGAGACUUGCUUUUCCACGAGUGUGCCAUCUGCUGCCCCUACACGUGUGCUCUCUCUCUUGUGCACCGGGCUCCUGCGUUCAGCCCAUCACCGCUCCUACUUGGCUGCCUGCCCACAGGCACAAGAAAAACAGCUUUCGCCCUGUCCCUUGUGGACUCUUGUUCACUGAGAAGCCAUUUUUCCCACAGGCUCGACUAUCUGCCUGUGCUUGUUCACGCUCGCAAAUGCCCCUCCUGACAUACACUUUCCAAAAAGUUUAACCCUUGCUGACUUGAAUCUCACUGGUUGUGUCAAGCUCACGGAGAACUGCCUGACCCUGUCUGCCUGGAGUGCUGAGAUUGAAGCCCCUUCUUGAAGGAAGACACAUGAAAGGAACACAAAGAUGUAUUUGUCAAGACUUCGCAUUGGCGACUGAAAAGCAUCCCAUUGGAAUGAUCUGGGAAGAUGGGAUGGGGAAGAUGAUGAUGGAGGAGAUGAAGGCUAUUUAUUACUUCACAUGGGGCAGAGAACAAUGUCAGAAAGGGCAUCCUCAGGGUCUCUGGAAAUAGUAGAAGGUCACAACUGCUGAUACGGUAUGGAAGCCAGACUUGAUGGAAAGCCCAGCUUCAUGAGGGAUGUGAUGGGUGAACUGGGUCGAUGCUGUGCUUCGAGCUUUUCAUCUUUUACAUCUAGAAAAUCACAGUAUCUACCCUCAGUGUUGCUGUGAGAAUCCCCAGAGAUUUUUCACAUAGAGAGGGCUACUUAGAGAGUUCCUGGAAAGUCAGGGUUACAUAAAUAAACCCUGUCCAAAAAACAAAAAAACAAAAAAACAAAAAAACAAAAAAAAAAGGAAAAACCCAAAAGCCUGUCUCAAGUCACACUUGAAUUUUUAUUUUAGAUAUCCAAGUAAAUCGAGGGAUGACACACAGCUAUGGAUAAUCAGACAUCUCAGACAUCUAUCCCUGAGUGCUAGCCUUUAGGCUAUUCUUUACAUAAUUUAAGACACUUUAAAACAGCUGGUAAGAAAAUCUUUUAUAUAUAAUUCUGUUUGAUUGAAGUAUGAAUAAAGGCUUGACCUAGAAAACAGCAUCACUGAAACCACAACAUGGAGGCCUUUCUUUCCUUUCCUUUCCUUUCCUUUCGUUUCCUUUCGUUUCCUUUCCUUUCCUUUCCUUUUCCUUUCCUUUUCUUUUCUCCUCUUUUCUUUUCAUUUGUUGGUACUCGGGAUUAAACCAAAGACCUCACUGUGUGCAACAAGUGCUCUACCACUGAGCCUCAUCCCCAGGCCUGAUAUAGAGGUUAUGUUUGUUCAUUUGCUUGUUUGCCCCUAUGAGAGGUAUACAAAGUUCCUAGACAAGGCCAGUCCCAGAUGAAGAAUAAAAUUCAAGAGUCCAUUACUGGACUAGGGGUGCAGCUCCAUUGGCAGAGUGCUUUCCCAGCAUGCACCUGGAUUCAAUACCCAGUACUAUAUAAAUUGGGCAGAGUAUCACAUCUGUAAUCAAAAACCUGGGAGGUAGAGAAUUAAGUAUUGUGUGAGACGUGUCCUUGGGGAACAUGAACAAAUGUCUAUUCAUCCAAGAUAGUGAAUCAAGACAUAAAAGUUAAGCCACCAUAGAGAGCAGACACAUGGUGACGAUUGGCCACAUGGCCAGGAAGGGAGCUUUAGAGAAAGCAUAAGGAAGCCCCAGAGUGCCAGGAAAUUGUACUUAGCUCUGGUUACCAUUCAAAAGAAGAGAAAAAAGGCACAACUCAGAAAGGGAGGCUGCUCCAGCAGAGAGCCUCCUGGACAGCCCUGGAGCAUCUGCCCAGAGGAGGGAGUUCUGGGAAGGAAAAAUUCACCUCACUAAAGGAACAGUAUGUUCCUCCUACCUCUUUUAUACAGCUUCAGGUGAGCCAGGCUUCCUGAGGAGUAGCCUUUAGCUUACACACUGGAUUAACUCUUAAAGAAACAGACAUGUCUCUAUCUAUCAGAUAAUUCCAAGGUUAUUGUAACCACAGUGGGGUUUUCCUCAUACUCCUGAAGAGAUGAAAUAAUAGGCCACACCAGUGAGAUGCCUAGGAUCCAGAUGCUAUCAUCUGAAUGAGAAACCUGGUUCCAUCAAGACUUCAAGUCCCUGAAGGCACUCAGUUGCAUCAAGUAAUCUAUGCAAACAUUUGUCCUUGGCAGGAGUAGCAAAGAGAGAGGCAAGCACACCUGAAGAGUUCCUUUAAUCUUUUGGGGACCUUGACUCACAUAAAACCAGAUCUUUGGCUUCAGUGAAGAAAGUAAGUUCAGGAGAAGCCCCUAUGAAGCAGAGUCGGUCUUCAUUCAGAACAGAGAGCUGCUCAGAGAAAGACUAAAGCACCUUGGGAAUGUGGAUGUGGACUUCUCAGAGCACAGUCACAUUUAACUGCAGUUCCGUCCACAGGUAGAUCCAAAGGAAACUGCAGACCCUAAAACUGCAGAAGGCAGUCAGACAUCUAGAAGGCCUGGCCUGGCCUGGCCUGGCCUGUAGGAGGUGGUUAGAUAAAAGUCACCAUUCCUCAGGAACUGGUGAAGCUGGCUCCCUCUACUAAAAGAAGUCCUUUCCCAUAUCACAGUCAGAAAGGGCAAAUGGCUACCCUUGUUGCCCAUUAGCAUACCAAAGCACACCUGGCUCCCAGGCUUCCAGGCUCCCUCCUAUCUCAAGUAUCUGUUGCCCAUUUCAGAGUCCAGGCAGGCCCCCCAGCCCUUCUCAUCCCCUCCCCUGCUAAACUCCAUCCAGCUCCAGGGUUUCCCUCCCCCAGCUACUCCUUCUCCUUGUAAGCCUGCUCUUUCUGGAUAGUUCACUCUGACUCUCUGUCUCCCCUGCCCCAUCUCUCUCUGUGUUCCUCUCCUCCUCUCCCUCUGACCUCCUGGGCUCCCUCUUUCCAUGUUCCUCUCUCUGGGCUCUGCACCUGCUUCUCUCUUGGCCAUGUUCAGUCUGCUUCUUUUUCUCUCUCCUGGAUGUCUCCGACUGUCCUCUCUCUCUGUGUCUCUCUCCCUCCUUCCCCUUAUCCACACCUUGAGUGACAUCAUCAGUUUAUACAUCAAUGGUGGUUUCAUUAUGCUCAGUACAGGGAUGACACUAUUAGGAGGUGUAGCCCUGUUGGAGUGGGCUUGUCACUAUGUGUGUGGGCUUUCAGAUCCUCAUCCUAGCUGCCCAUGAGUCAGUAUUCUGCUAGUAGCCUUCAGAUGAAGACAUAAACUCUCAGCUCC